rnacentral:rRNA from 1 species
GUACACGCUGUGACUAGCAUAUCAAUAAGCGGAGGAAAAGAAACUAACAAGGAUUCCCCUAGUAACGGCGAGUGAAGCGGGAAGAGCUCAAAUUUGAAAUCUUAAAGGGUUUCCCUUUACGAAUUGUAGUUUAAAGAAGUGUUUUCUGUUGAGGUUUUGGUAAAAGUUCUUUGGAAUAGGACAUCAUAGAGGGUGAGAAUCCCGUAUUUGACCUUUACUUUCAACUUUGUGAUACACUUUCAAAGAGUCGGAUUGUUUGGGAAUGCAGUCCAAAAUGGGUGGUAAAUUUCAUCUAAAGCUAAAUAUUGGCGAGAGACCGAUAGCGAACAAGUACCGUGAGGGAAAGAUGAAAAGAACUUUGAAAAGAGAGUUAAACAGUACGUGAAAUUGUCAAAAGGGAAGCGUUUGACACCAGUGUUGUUUUCUGAAAAUCAAUUAAAGAACUGUUUAUGCUAAGUUGUUUAGACUUUAUCAGCUAUCUGUUUAGUUUUGAGCUUUUCUUUAAUGCACUUUUCAGUUAACAAGUCAACAUCAAUUUCUUUUGCUGUAAAAAAGCUCGAGGAAGGUGGCUUGAGAUUCGUCUUAAGUGUUUAUAGCCUCUUGCCUAUGCAGUCGGAGAGAUUGAGGUCUGCAGCGUAGAUCCUUCGGGGCUAAAUGCAUUUGUGCUAAGUUAUAGCAUUUUAUAGACAACUUGUUGACUAUGAUUUGUCUUGUAGCUUACUCGCUUAUGUUAUUUUACCUACGCUUAGGAUGUUGACGCGCGUGUGUGCGUG